rnacentral:rRNA from 1 species
GAUGAACGCUGGCGGCGUGCCUAAUACAUGCAAGUCGAGCGAACAGAUGAGGAGCUUGCUCCUCUGACUUUAGCGGCGGACGGGUGAGUAACACGUGGAUAACCUACCUAUAAGACUGGGAUAACUUCGGGAAACCGGAGCUAAUACCGGAUAAUAUAUUGAACCGCAUGGUUCAAUAGUGAAAGACGGUUUUGCUGUCACUUAUAGAUGGAUCCGCGCCGCAUUAGCUAGUUGGUAAGGUAACGGCUUACCAAGGCAACGAUGCGUAGCCGACCUGAGAGGGUGAUCGGCCACACUGGAACUGAGACACGGUCCAGACUCCUACGGGAGGCAGCAGUAGGGAAUCUUCCGCAAUGGGCGAAAGCCUGACGGAGCAACGCCGCGUGAGUGAUGAAGGUCUUCGGAUCGUAAAACUCUGUUAUUAGGGAAGAACAAAUGUGUAAGUAACUAUGCACGUCUUGACGGUACCUAAUCAGAAAGCCACGGCUAACUACGUG